UACGUAGGGGGCAAGCGUUGUCCGGAUUUAUUGGGCGUAAAGAGCGUGUAGGCUGCCAGGUAGGUCUGCUGUGAAAACUCGAGGCUCAACCUCGAGAUGUCGGCGGAAACCAUCUGGCUAGAGUCCGGAAGAGGAGAAUGGAAUUCCCGGUGUAGCGGUGAAAUGCGCAGAUAUCGGGAAGAACACCAGUGGCGAAGGCGGCUCACUGGUCCGGUACUGACGCUGAGGUGCGAAAGCGUGGGGAGCAAACGGG
rnacentral:rRNA from 1 species